rnacentral:lncRNA from 1 species
AUGGGAAUGAUAAUGGAGAUAACCUUGGGAAUGACAAUGGGAAUGAAAACAGUGGGAAGGAAUGACAAUGGCAAUGAUAAUGGGAAUAUUAAUGGGAAUAAUGGGAAUAAUAAUGGGAAUGAUAAUGGGAAUAAUGGGAAUGAUAAUGGGAAAGUUAAUGGGAAUAACAAUGGGAAUGACAAUGGGAAUAGGAAUGAUAAUGGGAAUGUUAAUGGGAAUGACAAUGGCAAUAAUGGGAAUGAUAAUGGGAAUGGUAAUGGGAAUAACACUGGGAAUAAUGGGAAUGACAAUGGGAAUAAUGGGAAUGAUAAUGGGAAUGAUAAUGGGAAUAAUGGGAAUGAUAAUGGGAAUGUUAAUGGGAAUAGCAAUGGGAAUAAUAGGAAUGAUAAUGGGAAUAAUGGGAAUGACAAUGGCAAUAAUGGGAAUGACAAUGGCAGGAAUAAUGGGAAUAAUGGGAAUGAUAAUGGGAAUAACAAUGGGAAUAGGAAUGAUAAUGGAAUGUUAAUGGGAAUAAUAAUGGGAAUAAUGGGAAUGAUAAUGGGAAUAACAAUGGGAAUAAUGAGAAUGAUAAUGGGAAUGUUAAUGGGAAUGACAAUGGGAAUAACAAUGGCAGGAAUAAUGGGAAUAAUGGGAAUGACAAUGGGAAAAACAAUGGGAAUAACAAUGGCAGGAAUAAUGGGAAUGAUAAUGGGGAUAGCAAUAGGAAUAAUGGGAAUGAUAAUGGGAAUGGAAAUAACAAUGGGAAUAAUGGGAAUUAAUGGGAAUGGGAAUAAUAAUGGGAAUAGCAAUGGGAAUGAUGGGAAUGAUAAUGGGAAUGUUAAUGGGAAUGUUAAUGGGAAUGACAAUGGGAAUGACAAUGGGAAUGACAAUGGCAAUAAUGGGAAUGACAAUGGGAAUAACAAUGGCAGGAAUAAUGGGAAUAAUGGGAAUGAUAAUGGGAAUAACGAUGGGAAUAAUGGGAGUGAUAAUGGGAAUGUUAAUGGGAAUGUUAAUGGGAAUGACAAUGGCAGGAAUAAUGGGAAUGAUAAUGGGGAUAGCAAUAGGAAUAAUGGGAAUGAUAAUGGGAAUGGGAAUAACAAUGGGAAUAAUGGGAAUUAA